CUACGGGGGGCUCCAGUGGGGAAUAUUGGACAAUGGGGGAAACUCUGAUCCAGCAAUGCCGCGUGUGUGAAGAAGGCCUGCGGGUUGUAAAGCACUUUCGGUUGGGAGGACUGCUUCUAGCACUAAUAUUGUUGGAAGUUGACGUUACCUUCAGAAGAAGCACCGGCUAACUCCGUGCCAGCAGCCGCGGUAAUACGGAAGGUGCAAGCGUUAAUCGGAAUUACUGGGCGUAAAGCGCGCGUAGGCGGCUAGAUCAGUCGGGUGUGAAAGCCCCGGGCUUAACCUGGGAACUGCAUCCGAUACUGUCUAGCUUGAGUACAGGAGAGGAGAGUGGAAUUCCACAUGUAGCGGUGAAAUGCGUAGAUAUGUGGAGGAACACCAAUGGCGAAGGCAGCUCUCUGGCCUGAUACUGACGCUGAGGUGCGAAAGCGUGGGGAGCAAACAGGAUUAGAUACCCGUGUAGUC
rnacentral:rRNA from 1 species